rnacentral:rRNA from 1 species
UACGUAGGGUGCAAGCGUUGUCCGGAAUCAUUGGGCGUAAAGCGCGUGUAGGCGGUCCGAUCAGUCGGCUGUGAAAGUCCAGGGCUCAACCCUGGGAUGCCGGUCGAUACUGUCGGACUAGAGUCCGGAAGAGGCGAGUGGAAUUCCCGGUGUAGCGGUGAAAUGCGCAGAUAUCGGGAGGAACACCAAUGGCGAAGGCAGCUCGCUGGGACGGUACUGACGCUGAGACGCGAAAGCGUGGGGAGCAACAGG